rnacentral:lncRNA from 8 species
AACCUGGUCUAGACCCCAAAGACCAGUCAGAACCUGGUUUAGACCCCAAAGACCAGACAAGGCCUGGCCUGAACCCUAAAGACCAGACAAAGCCUGGUCUAGACCCCAAAAAGCAAGUGCAGGGACAAUGGUGUUGAAAAACUUCCAAGAAGGAAGAAACCUUGAGAGGGGGACUCUGGCUGUAUCGGGUAGAAGUUAAGAGUACAUAUGACCAUUAAAGACCAGUUCAGAGUGAACACAGAGAUAGUAGACUUUCUGAAUCAUUAAACCGCAAUAUAUCUCUUUUUAAGUCCGGAGAUCCUUCACUUACCUUGUGUUUCAUCUCCAGCAGCUGUGCAGUACUACUACUAUGCUGCAGCUGUGUGUCUCUGUUCUUCAGCAGGUCUGUCUGGCUGUCAAGACGUCCAUGGGCCUCCCGCAGCCUCUGCACCAGCUCUGCCCGCCUGCAGAUACAAUGCUUUAUUACAGGGCUGCUCUCAGCUCAACCCCUGGGGAGACAGGGGAGAGGGACCGGGGGGCACCCUCAGGGGCCAGGCGAGACAUCGACUGCCAUCUUCUUUUACCCAGACCUGGGUCACUCUGUCUGCUAAAGCCACCAUCUCUGCCAUUAGCGGAGGUGCUAGGACACAUGAAACAGAUGUCAUCAAUAUCAAAUUAUACAAGACGCUUGAGUAAACCUACCUUUUUUAAAGGGAAAGGAAGUGCUCAAACCAACCUAGAGUCAAGGUGCAGCCUUGAAUAGAAGUACAGCCAAGAGGUUAAAAACUAACUUUAUGUCUUUAAGGCUACAAAAAAGCUUCUGCCCUCACCUGGUGCUCAUUUUGGAGAGGAACCCUCCAGUCAUACAUGCCAGACUCCAUGCUGAGGACUAACACAACAUAAUAUCACUCCAAAAUGCCUCACCACGAUCUAAAUAAUUCAUUCAUAACACAAAUUAUAAGUCACCUACAUAAAUCACAAAUCGUUCCUUACCUGAGAUUUAAAGUGAGACCUGCUGUCCCACAUGUCCAGAUCGGCGAGGACGAGUGGACUAGAGUCUCUGAGCGGGAUGAGGGAAUGACUGAAGGGUUUAACACUCAGUCCUCCUAACUCAUCACCCCAGUCAUCACUGCCUUUCACGUGGGAGAGGCCGCGGUCCUCACCCACCCAUAGCUGGGCCAAGUCCAUCCGUCACAGACUGAAUCCACAGGCCCUGACCAGAGGGUGGAAAAAGGGGACAAGGAUUGAUUGAGUCUCAUGUUAGUGGCAGUUCGUAGUCUGCUAUUAUUACGACUAUUCAUGGAAAAACAUGCCUUGACUUUUCCAGUGUUUGUUUGUUCUGCUCUGAGUUCACACCCAAUCUUUAACAAUGCAGUGCAGUUAAUUAUAACACCACUGACUGGACUCCAAAUGCCUUGUGUUUGUGUUGCAGUCAAAUAGAAUUCAAAAUAAAAAAAACCUUACAAGGAAAACAAAUGUGGACGCAUUAUAAAUGUUUUCUGUGUGAAUUAACCUUCUGUAAACUGAGUAAAUGUAUUCCAUCUACAUACAGUUCACAUGUGGCCUACUGUUAAGCACACAAAGUAGUAACUAAUACUUUAGAAUGGCCAAAUAAACAUUUUCAAAAUACUUACAUAACCAGAAAACAGAAUCUUCAGUGAGUAAGUAUACCAUAUGAGAAGCUGUCUCUUACCUUGCUGUUCAAACACCUCUCUUGUUCAAUAGCUCUGUCCCUACUGCUGUCUUUCAGCUGCCCUGAUUGUGGGAGCCAGGGAGCUGUUGAGAGUGCAGCCCUGGCAGACGGUAGUCAUGGUUACCCGCAUACAGAGGGACGCGUUGCAGAGCGUGGGUGAGCUAAGUCCAAUCCUGGGCUGGCUAUAUUGUCUCCCUGUGACCUCACUGCUUCAGCAGCAGCCUACUGCCUACUGUUUGUUGACAUGAUGAGAUGACAGGAGUUCCACUCUGUGGAG